GGCUGAGGAUGAACGCUGGCGGCGUGCCUAAUACAUGCAAGUCGAACGAAACUUCUUUAUCACCGAGUGCUUGCACUCACCGAUAAAGAGUUGAGUGGCGAACGGGUGAGUAACACGUGGGCAACCUGCCCAAAAGAGGGGGAUAACACUUGGAAACAGGUGCUAAUACCGCAUAACCAUAGUUACCGCAUGGUAACUAUGUAAAAGGUGGCUAUGCUACCGCUUUUGGAUGGGCCCGCGGCGCAUUAGCUAGUUGGUGAGGUAAAGGCUUACCAAGGCAAUGAUGCGUAGCCGAACUGAGAGGUUGAUCGGCCACAUUGGGACUGAGACACGGCCCAAACUCCUACGGGAGGCAGCAGUAGGGAAUCUUCCACAAUGGGCGAAAGCCUGAUGGAGCAACGCCGCGUGGGUGAAGAAGGUCUUCGGAUCGUAAAACCCUGUUGUUAGAGAAGAAAGUGCGUGAGAGUAACUGUUCACGUUUCGACGGUAUCUAACCAGAAAGCCACGGCUAACUACGUGCCAGCAGCCGCGGUAAUACGUAGGUGGCAAGCGUUAUCCGGAUUUAUUGGGCGUAAAGGGAACGCAGGCGGUCUUUUAAGUCUGAUGUGAAAGCCUUCGGCUUAACCGGAGUAGUGCAUUGGAAACUGGGAGACUUGAGUGCAGAAGAGGAGAGUGGAACUCCAUGUGUAGCGGUGAAAUGCGUAGAUAUAUGGAAGAACACCAGUGGCGAAAGCGGCUCUCUGGUCUGUAACUGACGCUGAGGUUCGAAAGCGUGGGUAGCAAACAGGAUUAGAUACCCUGGUAGUCCACGCCGUAAACGAUGAAUGCUAAGUGUUGGAGGGUUUCCGCCCUUCAGUGCUGCAGCUAACGCAAUAAGCAUUCCGCCUGGGGAGUACGACCGCAAGGUUGAAACUCAAAGGAAUUGACGGGGGCCCGCACAAGCGGUGGAGCAUGUGGUUUAAUUCGAAGCAACGCGAAGAACCUUACCAGGUCUUGACAUCUUCUGACAAUCCUAGAGAUAGGACUUUCCCUUCGGGGACAGAAUGACAGGUGGUGCAUGGUUGUCGUCAGCUCGUGUCGUGAGAUGUUGGGUUAAGUCCCGCAACGAGCGCAACCCUUAUUGUUAGUUGCCAGCAUUAAGUUGGGCACUCUAGCAAGACUGCCGGUGACAAACCGGAGGAAGGUGGGGAUGACGUCAAAUCAUCAUGCCCCUUAUGACCUGGGCUACACACGUGCUACAAUGGACGGUACAACGAGUCCGCGAGACCGCGAGGUUUAGCAAAUCUCUUAAAGCCGUUCUCAGUUCGGAUUGUAGGCUGCAACUCGCCUACAUGAAGUCGGAAUCGCUAGUAAUCGCGGAUCAGCAUGCCGCGGUGAAUACGUUCCCGGGCCUUGUACACACCGCCCGUCACACCAUGAGAGUUUGUAACACCCAAAGCCGGUGGGGUAACCUUUUGGAGCCAGCCGUCUAAGGUGGGACAGAUGAUUGGGGUG
rnacentral:rRNA from 2 species